rfam:Hordeum vulgare subsp. vulgare, WGS project CAJW01000000 data, contig: morex_contig_242010
AUAAUACUCACUCUGUCCGGAAAUACUUGUCAUAAAAAUACAUAUAAUGAAUGUAUCUACAAUUAAAAUAAAUCUAGAUACAUUCAUCUCUAGGACAAGUAUUUCCGGACGGAGAUAGUACUAG